CACGAAGUUAGCCGGGGCUUCUUCUCCGGGUACCGUCAUUAUCGUCCCCGGUGAAAGAAUUUUACAAUCCUAAGACCUUCAUCAUUCACGCGGCAUGGCUGCGUCAGGCUUUCGCCCAUUGCGCAAGAUUCCCCACUGCUGCCUCCCGUAGGAGUUUGGGCCGUGUCUCAGUCCCAAUGUGGCUGAUCAUCCUCUCAGACCAGCUACUGAUCGUCGCCUUGGUGAGCCUUUACCUCACCAACUAGCUAAUCAGACGCGGGCCGCUCUAAUGGCGAUAAAUCUUUCCCCCGAAGGGCACAUUCGGUAUUAGCACAAGUUUCCCUGAGUUAUUCCGAACCAAAAGGCACGUUCCCACGUGUUACUCACCCGUCCGCCACUAACUCCGAAGAGUUCGUUCGACUUGCAUGUGUUAGGCCUGCCGCCAGCGUUCGCUCUGAGCCAGGAUCAAACUCU
rnacentral:rRNA from 1 species